rnacentral:rRNA from 1 species
UACGAAGGGGGCUAGCGUUGUUCGGAAUUACUGGGCGUAAAGCGCACGUAGGCGGAUAUUUAAGUCGGGGGUGAAAUCCCGGGGCUCAACCCCGGAACUGCCUUCGAUACCUGGGUAUCUUGAGUUCGGAAGAGGUGAGUGGAAUUGCGAGUGUAGAGGUGAAAUUCGUAGAUAUUCGCAGGAACACCAGUGGCGAAGGGCGGCUCA